rnacentral:rRNA from 1 species
UACGUAGGGUGCAAGCGUUGUCCGGAAUUAUUGGGCGUAAAGAGCUCGUAGGCGGUCUGUCGCGUCUGGUGUGAAAACUCAAGGCUUAACCUUGGGCCUGCAUCGGGUACGGGCAGACUAGAGUGCGGUAGGGGAGACUGGAAUUCCUGGUGUAGCGGUGGAAUGCGCAGAUAUCAGGAGGAACACCGGUGGCGAAGGCGGGUCUCUGGGCAGUAACUGACGCUGAGGAGCGAAAGCGUGGGGAGCAAACAGG